CGCGUAGGCGGUCUGAUAAGUUGGAUGUGAAAGCCCGGGGCUCAACCCCGGAAGUGCAUCUGAAACUAUCGGACUUGAGUAUGGGAGAGGGAAGUGGAAUUCCUGGUGUAGCGGUGAAAUGCGUAGAUAUCAGGAGGAACACCGGUGGCGAAGGCGACUUCCUGGACCAAUACUGACGCUGAGGCGCGAAGGCGUGGGGAGCAAACA
rnacentral:rRNA from 1 species